UACGGGGGGAGCAAGCGUUGUUCGGAUUUACUGGGCGUAAAGGGCGCGUAGGCGGCCACCGCAAGUCGACUGUGAAAUCUCUGGGCUUAACCCAGAACGGUCAGCCGAUACUGCGGGGCUAGAGUGCAGAAGGGGCAACUGGAAUUCUCGGUGUAGCGGUGAAAGGCGUAGAUAUCGAGAGGAACACCCGCGGCGAAGGCGGGUUGCUGGGCUGACACUGACGCUGAGGCGCGAAAGCUAGGGGAGCGAACGGG
rnacentral:rRNA from 1 species